AACGAACGCUGGCGGCGUGGUUCAGGCAUGCAAGUCGAGCGAUAACCAUGGCUUCGGCCAUGGGGAGAGCGGCGAACGGGUGAGUAACACGUGAGCGAUCUGCCCUCGACACCGGGAUAGCCCGGGGAAACCCGGAUUAAUACCGGAUGGCCUCUCGAGCCCACGGGCUCGUUAGAAAAGAUGGCUUCGGCUUUCGGUCGAGGAGGAGCUUGCGGCGGAUUAGCUUGUUGGUGGGGUAACGGCUCACCAAGGCGACGAUCCGUAGCUGGUCUGAGAGGACGAUGAGCCACACUGGGACUGGGACACGGCCAAGCGUCCUACGGGGGGCAGCGGUGAGGAACCUUGCGCAUUGGGCGAAGGGCUGACGCAGCGACGCGGCGUGAGGGAAGAAGGCCUUCGGGUUGUAGACCUCUUUCAGGGGGGACGAAACCACUCGAGUUAAUACCCCAGAGGGUGACGGUACCUCCAGAAGAAGCCCCGGCUAACUACGUGCCAGCAGCCGCCGUAACAC
rnacentral:rRNA from 1 species